GAUAUUCUUCGAGGUUGCGUACAAAUUAUGCUACAAAAUGCUCCACGGCCAGAUUCUAUCUCUGACUCUAGAAUGUACUGUGGCAGUUGAGUGGUCUUACCACAUCCUGUCUCGCCAGAAAUUACUACCACCUGAUUACGUGCAAUUGCUUGGAGCAGCCUUUCUUUUUCCUUAAAUGCAGGAAGAGAUUUCCGGAAUUCUAGCAUUUUGUUGCCAUCAGGAGAUUCCUGCCAACCCCUCUGCAUAUUAC
rnacentral:misc_RNA from 1 species